UAUUAAUGUAAUGACUGUAGUACGAGAGGGACCGUUCAUUCGGAUAAUUGGUAUUUGGGCCUGCCUGAGCAGGCAAUGGCCCGAAGCUAUCAUCCGUUGGGGUAUGGCUGAACGCCUCUGAGUCAGAACCCGUGCUAGAACGCGACGAUUACCGCCUUGGCCAUUUUUAGUUGAAUACGAAUAGACCUACGGUCCAGAACCAUACGAACGUGGGGUUAUCUUGCAGAGCGGAAAGGCUUUGUGAGGUUCCCACUAAUGUUAAUUUCAAAUAUUGUCAAGGAUAAAUCCAAUGCAGACGACUUUAAUUGAACGGGGUAUUGUAAGCAGUAGAGUAGCCUUGUUGCUACGAUCUGCUGGGAUUAAGCCCAUUGUUCUCUAGAUUU
rnacentral:ncRNA from 1 species